CCAGCACCGAGGUGUUGGAAGGACUGCGACUGUCCAGGGAGACAGAAAUGCUGCUUUGUCUCUGGCAUGGAGUGCUUGGAUCCCAUGGUAGCCCACAAAAUGAAUAAAUGAAAACAAACAGCUGGGGAUCAUUAGCGAUGCUUUCUAUAGGACGCGUUUAUGGAAACCCAGCUGACGGAGUCCGUGACCCGCCGGCGGCCGCUCCGCUCCGGCGCACUUCCUGAGAGCCUCUUCCUGCAUAUCGCCUGUCGCUGGUUACCGCCGUCUGAUCGCUUCCUGUUACCCCAAUAAACACUCGCACGCCUAU